GGUCUUAGCCCGCCUGCACCCAGGUGAAAUAAACAGCCUUGUUGCUGACACAAAGCCUGUUUGGUGGUCUCUUCAUAUGGACUUGUGUGACAAGGAACACCCUCCUUGAGCACAGGGGGAGGGUGAAUAUCAGAACUGAGUCUGACUUCUGACAACAUAGGAGCUGAAGGGACCUGGGAUGUUGGGUAGGCAGUUCCCACUGUCUGUCACAGGCCCUAAUAAAAUACAAGUAAGAGAAAAGAACAAAACUGGGGCAAUCUAGUCAAGAAAGGCUUUCUGGAAUGCAUGAGGCCCCAGCGAGAUCUAAAAUUCCUAGAUGGACUUGGUGUUGUGGAAGCAAGAUGGCAGUCGGGCAAAAGAGACAGGAAGCAAAUGAGUUCUACCUUGCCAACAAUGGGAAACAGACAUACUUAAUGUGAGUAGAGAGGUAGCCUUGGCCAGGAAAGUUUGUUUGAAGAUCCUGGUCUGUCUUGACUUUAAAUCACUUGCCUUUGGAAUGGAAGAGAACAGACAUCUCAUCAAAUGAACCAAUCUGAAUGCACGAAGCACCUGAAUCCAUCCCCACUCAGGAAUCCUGGUUACUGAUGCUACAAGAUGUCUUUGACAGGGAACAGUGGGUCAUAAGAUCUAUUUCUGCCUCCUGUCUGUGACGCACUGGAUGACUCAAAGUGAAUCUCUCCCCAUUUCUGAGUAUCUGGCCCCUAUCCAUGAAGAACAGAAGAUCACAUCAGUAUUUCCCUUUGGCAAGGUUGGCCCCUGCUGCAGCAACUGUGCAAAGACCACCAGACUGCCCUCUCUGCCAGCUUACUCUUCAGCCUUUCUGGCUCUUUCUCCCGCUUCCACAUCCCUGCUUUAUUUUUCUUUUUCUCCUUUUGCAAAUAGCAUUGCUCCAAAGCAACCCAGGCACGUGUCCUGGGGACAGCGCUGCGAGCUACCCCUGAGCUGUGGAGAGCAGGCCCAAGAUUGUUUGCUAUUAGCAACUCCCGUUUGCCGGAUAAAUAAAGCGAAUCUGAGUGCAGGCUCCUGUAGGCUGGGGCAUUUUCAUUCUGCAGCAGGUCAGCUUCCAUUCCACUAGGGGGCUUUGAAUGUUAAUAGGCAUUUCUUUCCAGGUACCCUUCUCCUUUCUCUACAGUGCACCAGUCCCCGUGGGACCUUCCAUUGGCAUCCUACAGAGAGAUUAUUACUCUUUUCAUUGUUUUCCUUACGAAUUAGUUUCUGGAUUUAAUGGCUUUGGUUGCUGAGCAGAUUUUGGAAAUUGGGGCAGAGGGUGGGGUGGGGUGAUCUGCAGAGCCCAUUAUGGGCACUGGGUUAUUGCCUGCUUGGGAUUUAGGUGGAAUAAAUGCUCACCUGUUUCUUGGGGAAUUUUGGGAUGGAGGUGGACCUUCUUUUCCCUUAGAAGGAAUUGUGUUUGUUGUUAUUGUAUGUUUAAGAAGCUUCUAGAAAUUGUAGCUCUGGAAUACAAUAGGUAGAGAGUGCACGUUUUUAAUGGGAUGUGGGGGAGUGUUGCUCAGUUGUGGGAAGAUUUGUAAUAAUAGUUGGGACUGGGGAUUGAGCAUUACCUGAAGACUGUUUUAUUAAUGCCACAAAGCAUAAAGUUUAAAAAAAAAAGAAGAAAAUCCAGGGGUGUCUUAGUGUCAGAAGCAUUGGAACCAUGUUGAAUAGGUGCUGGGUAAAAUGAGGCUGAGACCUGCUUGGCUGCAUUCCCAGGAGGUUAGGGAUUCUCAGUCACAGGAUGUUUAUGGUUAAGGGAACAGGCUAAUAAUGUUUUCCAAACAGACCCGGGACUUAACAGACUCAAGAAAUGUCUUGACGUCCUGCUAUCUUAAGCACAAAAACAUUCUUUGUUUAGUAAUAAAUUUUGCUUUAAAGAUAGUAAUAUAGAUUCUUGCAAAAGUCAGUAGUUACACAAGGAUUAACAAUCCUUUGUCAUGAGCCCUUGUAAUAGACCACAUCCUUCUCAUGAUUUUUUGCGUUGUUAUCUCAUAUAUAAACAUGCAUUGUACCAAAUAAGGUGGGUGCCUUACUUCUCUUGCUUUCAGAAAUGCCCUGCUCAGUCCAUGCAGCAACCAUUCUUUCAUUCUUUUACUUUCUUAAUAAGCUUGCUUUCACUUUA
rnacentral:sRNA from 1 species